ACAUGGUCCUCCUGAAGAAGAGACGGCUGCUUAUCAAUUCAUUGGGUGCAGGUACAAUAAAUGGCUUACUGGAUGAAUUAUUGGAAACAAAUGUGCUGAGCCAGGAAGACACAGAGACAGUAAAAUGUGAAAAUGCUACAGUUAUGAAUAAGGCCCGAGCUUUCCUUGACUCUGUUAUUCAGAAAGGGGCACGGGCAUAUGAAAUCUGCAUCACAUACAUUUGUGAAGAAGACAGGUACCUGGCAGCGACGCUGGGACUCUCAGCAGGUCCAACAUCUGGAAGUCACCUUACUACACAAGACUCUCAAGUAGUACUUCCUUCCUAGAGGCUCCUCAGGCAGUGCCAGUGUGGGACAACCCUGCUAUGCCUACAUCCUCAGGCUCAGGAGGAAGCGUCAAGCUUUGCCCCCUAGACGAAGCUAAAAGGAUAUGGAAAGAAAAGUCGACAUAGCAUUAUCUGCAACGAAGAGUUUGAUAGUCUUUCUAAAAUAACGGGAGCUGAGGUUGACAUCAUAGGCAUGACGAUGCUGCUGCAAAAUCUGGGGUACAAGGUGGAUGUGAAAAGAAAUCUCAUUGCUUGGGAAAUGACUACAGAGCUGGAGGCAUUUGCUCACCGCCCAGAGCACAAGACCUCUGACAGCACUUUCCUGGUGUUCUUGUCUCAUGGUGUUCGGGAAGGCAUUUGUGGGAAGAAAUACUCUAAGCAAGUCCCUGAUAUAUUACAACUCAAUGAAAUCUUUAAAAUGUUGAAUAGCAAGAACUGCCCAAGUUUGAAGGACAAACCGAAGGUGAUCAUCUUCGAGGCCUGCCGUGGUGAGAACCGUGGUAUGGUGUUGGUAAAAGAUUCAUUACGAGUCUCUGAAAAUAUAUCUUUACCAACUCUGGGAGAUUUUGAGGAUGAUGCUAUUAAGAAAGCCCACAUAGAGAAGGAUUUUAUUGCUUUCUGCUCUUCCACAUCAG
rnacentral:sRNA from 1 species